rnacentral:rRNA from 1 species
AAACCAACAGGGAUUGCCUCAGUAACGGCGAGUGAAGCGGCAAAAGCUCAAAUUUGAAAUCCUGGCCUCUUUGGGGCCAUGAGUUGUAAUUUGAAGGUUGAGAGGUUUGGCACCACGCAUCUCUAAGUCCAUUGGAACAUGGCGCCUGGGAGGGUGAGAGCCCCGUGAGAGAUGUGGCCGGUGCCAUUUUUACUUCUUUUCCGAAGAGUCGAGUUGUUUGGGAAUGCAGCUCUAAGUGGGUGGUAAAUUCCAUCUAAAGCUAAAUAUUGGCGAGAGACCGAUAGCGAACAAGUACAGUGAUGGAAAGAUGAAAAGCACUUUGAAAAGAGAGUGAAAAAGUACGUGAAAUUGUUGGAAGGGAAGGGCUUGCAAGCAGACACGAUCCUCUCGGGGAUUGGGCCAGCAUCGGUUGGCAAGGGGUGGAAAAGGCAGCAGGGAAUGUGACUCGGCGCUUUUAGUGCCGUGAGUUUAUAGACCUGUUGAGAUACACCCACUUCCGACCGAGGCCUGCGAUUAUUCUAGGAUGCUGGCGUAAUGGUUGCAAGUCGC